AUUGAACGCUGGCGGAAUGCUUUACACAUGCAAGUCGAGCGGCAGCGCGGGGCAACCUGGCGGCGAGCGGCGAACGGGUGAGUAACACAUCGGAACGUACCCAGUCGUGGGGGAUAACGUGGCGAAAGUCACGCUAAUACCGCAUACGUCCUGAGGGAGAAAGCGGGGGAUCGCAAGACCUCGCGCGAUUGGAGCGGCCGAUGACUGAUUAGCUAGUUGGUGGGGUAAAGGCCUACCAAGGCGACGAUCAGUAGCUGGUCUGAGAGGACGACCAGCCACACUGGGACUGAGACACGGCCCAGACCUCCUACGGGAGGCAGCAGUGGGGAAUUUUGGACAAUGGGGGCAACCCUGAUCCAGCCAUGCCGCGUGAGUGAAGAAGGCCUUCGGGUUGUAAAGCUCUUUCAGACGGAAAGAAAACGCAUCGGUGAAUACCCGAUGUGGAUGACGGUACCGUAAGAAGAAGCACCGGCUAACUACGUG
rnacentral:rRNA from 1 species